AUCGUUACUGGAGAGGGAGGUUAUGUCUAUUCACAUCCAUAUGAUCUUGGUGCAUAUGAGAAUUUGAUAGCAGUUCUUGGUCCAAAUGUCCUUUGCUGGCUGUUGCCCUCCACAAAACAUAUAGACUCUGGCCUUCGUUUUCGGACAUCAUUUGAUAACGUACCGAGGACACCUGUAUCAAAAUGAAAUGUUUCUUCUUACAGCAGAGAUGUAAAGUGUUUGAUCACCAAAGCAUUUUGGUGCAGUUGUGUAAGUGUAACUAGCUCCACUCUUCGUGUAAAGGAGCUAACAAGAACCCUGUUUCAAACUGCCAAACGAUACAACACGGAGGCAGUCAUCAACUUUUUUGUAUUCUAACAGUUGUAAGAGAUGUUCAG
rnacentral:misc_RNA from 1 species